rnacentral:rRNA from 1 species
ACAUCCAGAGAACUUUCCAGAGAUGGAUUGGUGCCUUCGGGAACUCUGAGACAGGUGCUGCAUGGCUGUCGUCAGCUCGUGUUGUGAAAUGUUGGGUUAAGUCCCGCAACGAGCGCAACCCUUAUCCUUUGUUGCCAGCGGUUAGGCCGGGAACUCAAAGGAGACUGCCAGUGAUAAACUGGAGGAAGGUGGGGAUGACGUCAAGUCAUCAUGGCCCUUACGAGUAGGGCUACACACGUGCUACAAUGGCGCAUACAAAGAGAAGCGACCUCGCGAGAGCAAGCGGACCUCAUAAAGUGCGUCGUAGUCCGGAUUGGGGUCUGCAACUCGACUCCAUGAAGUCGGAAUCGCUAGUAAUCGUGGAUCAGAAUGCCACGGUGAAUACGUUCCCGGGCCUUGUACACACCGCCCGUCACACCAUGGGAGUGGGUUGCAAAAGAAGUAGGUAGCUUAACCUUCGGGAGGGCGCUUACCACUUUGUGAUUCAUGACUGGGGUGAAGUCGUAACAAGGUAGGCGUAGUGCU